AGUUGAAUUGCCAGACCUGGACUGCAAGAGAGAAGGAUGAAGAGGUUUUUGAGUUGGUGUCUGCUGUGGUGAUGGAGUCUAGUAGGAAACGACUGAGCGUGAGAAAGGAAGAAAGGACUGAGAUUGAAGCCCCAGGACACUGGAGGAGUAAGACCUGCAGUAGGAGCCAAUAGGAAGGUAGCUUCUCAGGACCUACUGUGUGCCAAGCAGUAAUUUGGGCAUCUGAAUUCAACCAUGAGCCAUGCAGAAAAAAAUCGCUGUCCUGUCUGCCAGAAGCUUCCAUUGCAGUAUGGAGGUGGUUGUGGAUUCGCUUAUAUGGACUGUAUCUCCCAGCUGCCUUUGCAG